GACAGAGGGUGCAAACGUUGUUCGGAAUUACUGGGCGUAAAGCGCGUGUAGGCGGCCCUGCAAGUCGGGUGUGAAAUCCCACGGCUCAACCGUGGAAGUGCACUCGAAACUGCAGGGCUAGAGUCCUGGAGAGGAAGGUGGAAUGCUUGGUGUAGAGGUGAAAUUCGUAGAUAUCAAGCGGAACACCGGUGGCGAAGGCGGCCUUCUGGACAGUGACUGACGCUGAGACGCGAAAGCGUGGGUAGCAAACAGG
rnacentral:rRNA from 1 species